GGCCCGGUAGCUCAGCUGGUAGAGCAACGGACUGAAAAUCCGUGUGUCGCCGGAUCAUCCCCGGCCUGGGCCACCA
rnacentral:tRNA from 1 species